rnacentral:rRNA from 1 species
AUGACAGGCUCUCGGUGGUCGUUUGCGGUGAGCACGGUCGGCGCAAGUCCUGCAUAUUUCCCUCGUGAUGCUCGUCGUCAAAGUCGGAGCUGUCGGUUGUUUGUGCGUGUGGCCAUCUGUUGGCAUGUGCCGUCAUGGCUUGUGCAGCUGUCCUGCAGCUCUGUGUUCCACGUCGGUGGCCAGGUUGGCCGGUGGUGCCCAUUUUGUGGGUUGGAUUGUGUCGGUUUUAGCCCGGUUUUCCGUCAAUUAACCGGACAAUUCUCCUUCUUCUUAAUCAAUGAAAAUGGCAAGUCUUUUGCCUUGCUUCAAAAAAAAAAGGAAAAUAUCAUUAUGUUGUCACUCUCUUGGAAGAGUGGUCAACUGGAAGCAGAUGGGGAGGAACUACUAAAUAGCCUUCGACCUCACACGAAUCUUGCCAAGCUGAAUAUUGAAGGAUAUAAUGGUAUGAGAUCUCUGUGUUGGAUGGAAAAUCCUAUGCUGACAAACUUGACAUAUGUUUCUCUCUCAUAUUGCAACAACUGGCAACACCUUCCACCUUUAGGCGGACUACCUUCACUCAAAUAUCUCUACUUACAACAUAAGAAUGCUGUGAAAAGAAUAGAAAGUUCCUUUUAUGGCUGUGAGAUGCCUUUUGCCUCCCCAUCUCUUAAGUUGCUCUCAGUUGAAAUGCUUGCAUUGCUAGAGGAGUGGGUUGGAUCGGAGGAUAUAUGA